GUGGGGAAUAUUGGACAAUGGGCGAAAGCCUGAUCCAGCAAUGCCGCGUGAGUGAUGAAGGCCCUAGGGUUGUAAAGCUCUUUUACCCGGGAUGAUAAUGACAGUACCGGGAGAAUAAGCUCCGGCUAACUUCGUGCCAGCAGCCGCGGUAAUACGAGGGGAGCUAGCGUUGUUCGGAAUUACUGGGCGUAAAGCGCGCGUAGGCGGUUUUUUAAGUCAGAGGUGAAAGCCCGGGGCUCAACCCCGGAAUUGCCUUUGAAACUGGAAAACUAGAAUCUUGGAGAGGUCAGUGGAAUUCCGAGUGUAGAGGUGAAAUUCGUAGAUAUUCGGAAGAACACCAGUGGCGAAGGCGACUGACUGGACAAGUAUUGACGCUGAGGUGCGAAAGCGUGGGGAGCAAACAGGAUUAGAUACCCCUGUAGUCC
rnacentral:rRNA from 1 species